CCCUUAGAUGUUCUGGGCCGCACGCGCGCUACACUGACGAAUGCAACGAGCUUAUAACCUUGGCCGAAAGGUCUGGGUAAUCUCCAAAUUUCGUCGUGAUGGGGAUAGAUUAUUGCAAUUAUUAAUCUUCAACGAGGAAUGCCUAGUAAGCGCAAGUCAUCAGCUUGCGUUGACUACGUCCCUGCCCUUUGUACACACCGCCCGUCGCUCCUACCGAUUGAAUGGUCCGGUGAAGCGUUCGGACCGUGGCCUUUGGACGGUUCGCCGUCUGUUGGCUGCGGGAAGUUCGUUAAACCUUAUCAUUUAGAGGAAGGAGAAGUCGUAACA
rnacentral:rRNA from 1 species